rnacentral:rRNA from 1 species
CAGUAGCCGCGGUAAGACGAACCGUGCGAACGUUAUUCGGAAUCACUGGGCUUAAAGCGCGUGUAGGCGGGCCGCCACGUCGGCUGCUGAAAUCCCCCGGCUCAACCGGGGAACGGGCACCGAUACGAGCGGCCUCGAGGGGGGUAGGGGGGUCUGGAACUUCCGGUGGAGCAGUGAAAUGCGUAGAGAUGUGGAGGAAUACCGAUGGCGAAGGCAGCCCCCUGGGAUAGCACUGACGUUCAUGCCCGAAAGCGUGGGUAGCAAACAGGAUUAGAUACCCCCGUAGUCCCUGUCUCUUAUA